rnacentral:rRNA from 1 species
UACGUAGGGGGCAAGCGUUGUCCGGAAUCAUUGGGCGUAAAGAGCGUGUAGGCGGCCCGGUAAGUCUGUUGUGAAAGUCCAGGGCUCAACCCUGGAAUGCCGAUGGAUACUGCCGGGCUAGAGUUCGGAAGAGGCGAGUGGAAUUCCUGGUGUAGCGGUGGAAUGCGCAGAUAUCAGGAGGAACACCGGUGGCGAAGGCGGAUCUCUGGGCCGUAACUGACGCUGAGGAGCGAAAGCAUGGGGAGCGAACAGG